GCCCGGGUGGCGGAAUUGGUAGACGCGCUGGUCUCAAACACCAGUGAACUUUUGUUCAUGUCGGUUCGAGCCCGACCCCGGGUA
rnacentral:tRNA from 1 species